ensembl:lncRNA SMG1P5 SMG1 pseudogene 5
AGUGGCCGUGUGAGCGUGAGGAGCUGCCGCCACCGCCUGCUCCUCGUCCUCCUCGUCCUCCGGGGCCCCAGCGUCGUGGGCCGCGCACGGCCCUGGAAGAGACGUCGCCUCGCCUUCAUCCGCCUCUCUCACCGCGCCGCUCCCUCGUCCUGCCCUGCGGGCUCAGGCGGAACCCGGAACGGCCGUCCUCUUCCCCCGCCCUCCGCCGCCGCCUCCUCCUCCUCCUUCUCGGCUUCCUCCUCAGCCCCGGGCCGGAGCGGGGUGUCGGCGGCGGCCGGUUCGGGCGGCGGCGCUUGGCCAUGUCGUGUCGGGGAAGGUAAUGAGCCGCAGAGCCCCGGGGUCUCGGCUGAGCAGCGGCGGCACCAACUAUUCGCGGAGCUGGAAUGACUGGCAACCCAGAACUGAUAGUGCAUCAGCUGACCCAGGUAAUUUAAAAUAUUCUUCAUCCAGAGAUAGAGGUGGUUCUUCCUCUUACGGACUGCAACCUUCAAAUUCAGCUGUGGUGUCUCGGCAAAGGCACGAUGAUACCAGAGUCCACGCUGACAUACAGAAUGACGAAAAGGAGAGAUCGAUGUCUUAUUGUGAUGAGUCUCGACUGUCAAAUCUUCUUCGGAGGAUCACCCGGGAAGACGACAGAGACUGAAGAUUGGUCACUGUAAAGCAGUUGAAAGAAUUUAUUCAGCAACCAGAAAAUAAGCUGGUACUAGUUAAACAAUUGGAUAAUAUCUUGGCUGCUGUACAUGAUGUGCUUAAUGAAAGUAGCAAAUUGCUUCAGGAGUUGAGACAGGAGGGAGCUUGCUGUCUUGGCCUUCUUUGUGCUUCUCUGAGCUAUGAGGCUGAGAAGAUCUUCAAGUGGAGUUUUAGCAAAUUUAGCUCAUCUGCAAAAGAUGAAGUUAAAGUCCUCUACUUAUGUGCCACCUACAAAGCACUAGAGACUGUAGGAGAAAAGAAAGCCUUUUCAUCUGUAAUGCAGCUUGUAAUGACCAGCCUGCAGUCAAUUCUUGAAAAUGUGGAUACACCAGAAUUGCUUUGCAAAUGUGUUAAGUGCAUUCUUUUGGUGGCUCGAUGUUACCCUCAUAUUUUCAGCGCUAAUUUUAGGGAUACAGUUGAUAUAUUAGUUGGAUGGCAUAGAGAUCAUACUCAGAAACCUUCGCUCACGCAGCAGGUAUCUGGGUGGUUGCAGAGUUUGGAGCCAUUUUGGGUAGCUGAUCUUGCAUUUCCUACGACUCUUCUUGGUCAGUUUCUAGAAGACAUGGAAGCAUAUGCUGAGGACCUCAGCCAUGUGGCCUCUGGGGAAUCAGUGGAUGAAGACGUCCCUCCUCCAUCAGUGUCAUCACCAAAGCUGGCUGCGCUUCUCCGGGUAUUUAGUACUGUGCUGAGGAGCAUUGGGGAACGCUUCAGCCCAAUUCGGGUCCUCCAAUUACUGAGGCAUACGUAACAGUUGUUCUGUACAGAGUAAUGAGAUGUGUGACGGCUGCAAACCAGGUGUUUUUUUCUGAGGCUGUGUUGACAGCUGCUAAUGAGUGUGUUGGUGUUUUGCUCGGCAGCUUGGAUCCUAGCAUGACUAUACAUUGUGACAUGGUCAUUACAUAUGGAUUAGACCAACUGGAGAAUUGCCAGACUUGUGGUACCAAUUAUAUCAUCUCAGUCUUGAAUUUACUCACGCUGAUUGUUGAACAGAUAAAUACGAAACUGCCAUCAUCAUUUGUAGAAAAACUGUUUAUACCAUCAUCUAAACUACUAUUCUUGCGUUAUCAUAAAGAAAAAGAGGUUGUUGCUGUAGCCCAUGCUGUUUAUCAAGCAAUGCUCAGCUUGAAGAAUAUUCCUGUUUUGGAGACUGCCUAUAAGUUAAUAUUGGGAGAAAUGACUUGUGCCCUAAACAACCUCCUGCACAGUCUGCAACUUCCUGAGGCCUGUUCUGAAAUAAAACAUGAGGCUUUUAAGAAUCAUGUGUUCAAUGUAGACAAUGCAAAAUUUGUAGUUAAAUUUGACCUCAGUGCCCUGACUACAAUUGGAAAUGCCAAAAACUCGAGUCUUUAAUUGUAAUGACUUUGUUUUAUCCACAGUUAAGCCUUUUCUCAUUACAUAUUUAUGUAUUUCACUGUCAUGUCAACAUGUCUGCAGAAUCACUGUAUGUAACAAACAGCCAUAUUUAAGACAUGCCUGGAUAAAUAAAAUUGGUAGGAAUGUUUUCUUGC